GGAAGAGUGGCAGAGCGGUUGAAUGCGGCGGUCUUGAAAACCGUUGAGGAUUUACGUCCUCCGGGGGUUCGAAUCCCUCCUCUUCCGCCA
rnacentral:tRNA from 2 species